GACGAACGCUGGCGGCGUGCUUAACACAUGCAAGUCGAACGGUGAAGCGCCUUCCUUUUUGGUGGGUGUGGAUGAGUGGCGAACGGGUGAGUAACACGUGAGUAACCUGCCCCCUUCUUCUGGAUAACCGCAUGAAAGUGUGGCUAAUACGUGAUAUUCUGGGUCUGUCGCAUGAUGGGUCUGGGAAAGAUAUUGUUUCGGUGGGGGAUGGGCUCGCGGCCUAUCAGCCUGUUGGUGGGGUGAUGGCCUACCAAGGCGGUGACGGGUAGCCGGCCUGAGAGGGUGGACGGUCACACUGGGACUGAGACACGGCCCAGACUCCUACGGGAGGCAGCAGUGGGGAAUAUUGCACAAUGGGCGCAAGCCUGAUGCAGCGACGCCGCGUGAGGGAUGGAGGCCUUCGGGUUGUGAACCUCUUUCGCCAGUGAAGCAGGCCUGCCUCGUUUGUGGGUGGGUUGACGGUAGCUGGAUAAGAAGCGCCGGCUAACUACGUG
rnacentral:rRNA from 1 species